CCUACGGGGUGCAGCAGUGAGGAAUAUUGGUCAAUGGACGCAAGUCUGAACCAGCCAUGCCGCGUGCAGGAAGACGGCUCUAUGAGUUGUAAACUGCUUUUGUACGAGGGUAAACGCAGAUACGCGUAUCUGUCUGAAAGUAUCGUACGAAAAAGGAUCGGCUAACUCCGUGCCAGCAGCCGCGGUAAUACGGAGGAUUCAAGCGUUAUCCGGAUUUAUUGGGUUUAAAGGGUGCGUAGGCGGUCGGAUAAGUUAGCGGUGAAAUCCCGAGGCUCAACUUCGGAAUUGCCUCUGAUACUGUUCGGCUAGAGAGUAGUUGCGGUAGGCGGAAUGUAUGGUGUAGCGGUGAAAUGCUUAGAGAUCAUACAGAACACCGAUUGCGAAGGCAGCUUACCAAGCUACUUCUGACGUUGAGGCACGAAAGCGUGGGGAGCGAACAGGAUUAGAUACCCCUGUAGUC
rnacentral:rRNA from 1 species